UACGUAGGCAGCAAGCGUUGUUCGGAGUUACUGGGCGUAAAGGGUGCGUAGGCGGCUUUUUUAAGUUUGGUGUGAAAUCUCCCGGCUCAACUGGGAGGGUGCGCCGAAUACUGAGAGGCUAGAGUGUGGGAGAGGAAAGUGGAAUUCCUGGUGUAGCGGUGAAAUGCGUAGAUAUCAGGAGGAACACCGGUGGUGUAAACGGCUUUCUGGACCAUAACUGACGCUGAUGCACGAAAAGCGUGGGUAGCAAACAGG
rnacentral:rRNA from 1 species